UACGUAGGGGGCUAGCGUUAUCCGGAUUUACUGGGCGUAAAGGGUGCGUAGGCGGUCUUUCAAGUCAGGAGUGAAAGGCUACGGCUCAACCGUAGUAAGCUCUUGAAACUGUAAGACUUGAGUGCAGGAGAGGAGAGUGGAAUUCCUAGUGUAGCGGUGAAAUGCGUAGAUAUUAGGAGGAACACCAGUUGCGAAGGCGGCUCUCUGGACUGCAACUGACGCUGAGGCACGAAAGCGUGGGGAGCAAACAGGAUUAGAUACCCUGGUA
rnacentral:rRNA from 1 species